CCUGCCCCAUCACUGUUAAUGCUGCGAGUUCGCAGACGUCCUCCGACAUGAUCCCUCAUCCCUAAACCAUCAUGUCGCUGAUGCCGUUGCUGAUGCGGUCGCUGAUAAGGCUGGUGACGUCGCUGGUGGGGCAGCCGGCGAGCACGGUGACGACGCUGCUGUACUACAGCGACCUCCUCCCUCGCCACCUCAACCUGGAGCGCCUGGUCCGGCGCGACAUGCUCGACCGGGAGAACUACCUCUUCCAUUUCCUAGUUAAUCUCCUCCGCUGCUUCUGAAUUUUCCUAGAUCCUUCCCCUGGCGGUUUAACCAGCUCGAAGAGUUUAUAUGAUUUGGCUCAGGGGUAUCGGGUGAUGAACUUUGAUACCAACGAAGGCUUCGCAAGACGAUGGCGAGAGGCGAUGUUGUUAGCAUUAGUUGUAAUCCAGGACUGGAACUACACGAUCACCAGGUGACAAUAUGUAUUAGGAUCAUAUCAUAUCCUUCGGAUUUGGCCUCCAUUUUUGUGAGGCUUGCAAUCUUCAAUUCGAAUGCUCGCGAGAGCUCGAACUUCGGCAUCCUCGAG